rnacentral:pre_miRNA from 1 species
AUAGUACUCCCUCCGUCCGAAAAUACUUGUCAUCAAAAUGGAUAAAAAGGGAUGUAUCUACAACUAAUAUACAUCUAGAUACAUCCUCUUCUAUUCAUUUUGAUGACAAGUAUUUCCGGACGGAGGGAGUAGUUU